GCCAAGUCGUGAGGCGGAGCUAAUCCCUUAAAGCCAUUCUCAGUUCGGAUUGUAGGCUGAAACUCGCCUACAUGAAGCUGGAGUUACUAGUAAUCGCAGAUCAGAAUGCUGCGGUGAAUGCGUUCCCGGGUCUUGUACACACCGCCCGUCACACCACGGAAGUUGGGGGCGCCCGAAGCCACUUAGCUAACCCUUUUGGGAAGUGAGUGUCGAAGGUGAAAUCAAUAACUGGGGUGAAGUCGUAACAAGGUAUC
rnacentral:rRNA from 1 species